UUACACUGUACCCUUAUCUAGCUAAAGGGCAUGAUUGAGGUGGAAUGGGAUGGAAUCUUCAUCGGCAUCUGAAGGAGCUAGCCCUGAUGUCCGUCCUGUUAUCUGUGAAAGUUUACAAGAUCUGACUGACUGGGGGACCUACUGGACUCAGAGAUAGAGUGGACCUCGAGUCGUAUUCACCAAAUAGACCUUUAGUCCAAGAGUUCUCUCCCGCCAUGUCUCCAUCAUCUUGAACUUGGUUCUCAUAGUUGUACAGCUAGAUCCUACUGUGCUAAGCAGCCUUGCGACAUGAUCUUCUUAGCAAAAUUUGAACACAAGCAUAAAAUCAAAGGAGAAAUUCCAAAAAAACAGUGCUGCAAAUCUUCCACACAAAACUCUACUGCUGGUCUCCAGCGUCAUUCCUAGUGUGAUCCA